UUUUAGUUCAGAAGGGACAAUUUAAGACAAAGGCAAUCAGCCUGUUGUCUGUCCUAGGAAAAGUGUCUGAGCCCGCUCAGGGGCUGCCUUCCAGUGGAACGAGGAGCUGCUUGACAUAGGGAUCUUUUCUCAGGGUCACUCAAAAAUCUGCUUUGGGAACCAUUUUCUCUGCCUGGCUGGAAGCCUGGUGGGGUGAGAGAGAAGAGAACCCUGCCGGCUGCUGGGGCUCUGCUGCCUGCUGGCAACCGAACUGGAGGAGGGGCCUGGCAGCACAGAGAGAACUACACUGAGCAGUCAGCAUGCAGGUGGGCAGCACCUUCAGCUCCAUGCAGAUCCUUGGUUUGACCAAACCACGGGCCCUCUACCAGCCUCCUCUAACCAGCAGGUAUAUUUCAGCUACCCCGAAGGCCUAGCAGCUGAUUUCUGACAGUGACAUGCAGAGGCCUGGACAGGGUGAAGGUACAGAUCGUGGUCCUAAUUCUUCCAAAGGCUACAAAGCACUCACAACACAAGUCAAUAAAUAAAUAAUGCAACCA